rnacentral:rRNA from 1 species
UACGUAGGGCGCAAGCGUUGUCCGGAAUUAUUGGGCGUAAAGAGCUCGUAGGCGGUUUGUCGCGUCUGUCGUGAAAGCUUGGGGCUUAACCCCAGGUCUGCGGUGGAUACGGGCAUGACUGGAGUUCGGUAGGGGAGACUGGAAUUCCUGGUGUAGCGGUGAAAUGCGCAGAUAUCAGGAGGAACACCGGUGGCGAAGGCGGGUCUCUGGGCCGAUACUGACGCUGAGGAGCGAAAGCGUGGGGAGCAAACAGG